rnacentral:rRNA from 1 species
CAGCAGCCGCGGUAAUACGAAGGGUGCAAGCGUUACUCGGAAUUACUGGGCGUAAAGCGUGCGUAGGCGGUGAGUUAAGUCUGCUGUGAAAUCCCCGGGCUCAACCUGGGAAUGGCAGUGGAUACUGGCUCGCUAGAGUGUGUCAGAGGAUGGUGGAAUUUCCGGUGUAGCAGUGAAAUGCGUAGAGAUCGGAAGGAACAUCUGUGGCGAAGGCGACUAUCUGGGCCAACACUGACACUGAGGCACGAAAGCGUGGGGAGCAAACAGGAUUAGAUACCCCCGUAGUCCCUGUCUCUUAUAC